rnacentral:tRNA from 1 species
GCCUCAGUAGCUCAGUGGUAGAGCAAUUGCCUUGUAAGCAAUAGGUCGGGUGUUCAAAUCGCCCCUGAGGCU